AUUGAACGCUGGCGGCAUGCCUUACACAUGCAAGUCGAACGGUAGAGUAGCAAUACUUGAGAGUGGCGAACGGGUGAGUAAUAUAUCGGAACGUGCCCAGUCGUGGGGGGAUAACGUAGAGAAAUUUACGCUAAUACCGCAUACGAUCUAAGGAUGAAAGCGGGGGAUUCGCAAGAACCUCGCGCGAUUGGAGCGGCUGAUAUCAGAUUAGGUUGUUGGUGAGGUAAAAGCUCACCAAGCCGACGAUCUGUAGCUGGUUUGAGAGAACGACCAGCCACACUGGGGACUGAGACACGGCCCAGACUCCUACGGGAGGCAGCAGUGGGGGAAUAUUGGACAAUGGGCGAAAGCCUGAUCCAGCAAUGCCGCGUGAGUGAUGAAGGCCUCGGUUGUAAGACGUCUUUUACUUCGGGUACGGACGUAAUAG
rnacentral:rRNA from 1 species